ensembl:lncRNA
AAACAUUAUUCAUUCAUUCAUUCAUCUUCUGUAACAGCUUUAUCCUGGUUAGGGUUGCCAUUGUGGAUCCAGAAUACAGGAAUAUGUCCUAAAUUAGAGGGGGUUUGAGGUGACUUAUUUCAUCAUCAAAAAUGGCUGUACUGAAUUUGCUGGAUACUAAAAUAUGGGGAAAGCAGAAGAACUGUCAAAUGAUCUGCAAGAAAAAGUAAUUCAACACUAUACAUUAGGAAAAGAUUAUAAAAAGAUAUCCAAAGCUUUGAAAAUGCCAUCAGCAUCACCAAGGCAAGAUCAGCUAGAUCAAGCAAAACAACAACAACAAACAAACAAAUAAAAACAAAACAAAACAAAAAAGCCUCAAGCAACUUCUCCUCAAAUACAGGCUUACCUGAAACAAAGUGUUGUGGCUGUUUCUGGCUGUACAAUAAAGAGCUGCUUGAACAAAAAUGGGCCAGAUAGAAGCCAUUUUUAUGCCACUACAACCAUAAAAAACGACUUGCUUACAAUAUGCCAAAAGUCAUCUAGAGAAACCUCAAGAAUUUUGGAAUAAAGGAGUUUGGAAGUAAAUAAUGAGUCAAAAAUGUAACUUUAUGGCCACAAACAUAAAUGCUAUGUUUGGAGACGUGUCAGCAGGGCCCAUGAAGAGAAUCACACAAUCCCUACCAUGAAGCAAGGAGGUGGAUCUCUGCUGUUUUGGGUGUGUAUGAAGAUGAAUACAUGACAUUAUCAAAAAAAUUGGAGAAAACUUUGCACACGUCACCCUGGACAUUCCAACGUGACAAUUAUUAAGAAGUUAAGAAGGCAAAAGAAGGAAAAGAAAGAGGACAAAUUAAAGAAAAAAGAGGAAAAGAAAGAAAAAAGAAAAAAGAAAGGAGAGAUAAAAAGAAGUGAUUUAUAGGCAUCUGUUUUGUCAUUUUUCUCUGAAAAAAUGCUUUUUAAUGCAAAAUUUGGGUCAUGCUGCCAACCAGAUGGAUCUCGAGUCCCACCUCAGACAAGAAAUAAAUUUUUAAUUCAAUUUUGAAAUGACAACUGAUGGUCUACAGACUAUCUACUCUACAUUGCUGCUGUUAAAAUUAGUCAAUUGUUCAUCACCAUAGUUCACUUCUGUGCAGUUAUUGCUUAUCUGCAUUUAAUUCAAUGCAAGUUAU